rnacentral:lncRNA from 1 species
UCAAUAAUAGAUUACAUGCUCCGAGCCCACUUAUGAGUUAAGUGUUUCAUUAUAUUGGCUCAUAUUAUUGACUCAUAUGAAUUAGUUUUGAGUUAUGAAAUUUUGAAUUAAUUUAAAUUUAGAAAUUACAAUAAUUGAAAUACCAUAAAAUUACAUUAAACAUAAAUAAGAAAAAUACAUAAAUAGGGAGAGAAAAGGAAAAAAAACCCAGCUACUAGCAAUUGAUGACCGACAUUUUGAGCGAAUGAGUUGCACCUCGAGUCAGGCCACCCUAAAUCAACU